UACGUAGGGCGCAAGCGUUGUCCGGAAUUAUUGGGCGUAAAGAGCUCGUAGGCGGUCUGUCGCGUCUGCUGUGAAAAUCCAGGGCUCAACCCUGGACCUGCAGUGGGUACGGGCAGACUAGAGUGCGGUAGGGGAGAUCGGAAUUCCUGGUGUAGCGGUGAAAUGCGCAGAUAUCGGGAGGAACACCGAUGGCGAAGGCAGCACUCUGGGCCGGUACUGACGCUGAGGAGCGAAAGCGUGGGGAGCAAACAGG
rnacentral:rRNA from 1 species